GCAAUACUGGGCGGCGACCGGCAAACGGGUGCGGAACACGUACACAACCUUCCGAGAAGUGGGGAAUAGCCCAGAGAAAUUUGGAUUAAUACCCCGUAACAUAACGAUGUGGCAUCACAUUGUUAUUAUAGCUUCGGCGCUUCUUGAUGGGUGUGCGGCUGAUUAGAUNNUUGGCGGGGUAACGGCCCACCAAGUCUACGAUCAGUAGCUGAUGUGAGAGCAUGAUCAGCCACACGGGCACUGAGACACGGGCCCGACUCCUACGGGGGGCAGCAGUAAGGAAUAUUGGUCAAUGGACGCAAGUCUGAACCAGCCAUGCCGCGUGAAGGAUUAAGGUCCUCUGGAUUGUAAACUUCUUUUAUCUGGGACGAAAAAAGGCGAUUCUUCGUCACUUGGCGGUACCAGAUGAAUAAGCACCGGCUAACUCCGUGCCAGCAGCCGCGGUAAUACGGAGGGUGCAAGCGUUAUCCGGAUUCACUGGGUUUAAAGGGUGCGUAGGCGGGCAGGUAAGUCAGUGGUGAAAUCCUAGAGCUUAACUCUAGAACUGCCAUUGAUACUAUCUGUCUUGAAUAUUGUGGAGGUAAGCGGAAUAUGUCAUGUAGCGGUGAAAUGCUUAGAUAUGACAUAGAACACCUAUUGCGAAGGCAGCUUACUACGCAUAUAUUGACGCUGAGGCACGAAAGCGUGGGGAUCAAACAGGAUUAGAUACCCUGGUAGUCCACGCCCUAAACGAUGAUUACUCGACAUUUGUGAUACACUAUAAGUGUNNNNGCGAAAGC
rnacentral:rRNA from 1 species